rnacentral:tRNA from 1 species
GGAGAGAUGUCCGAGUGGCUUAAGGAGCACGCCUGGAAAGCGUGUGUAGGGGCAACUCUACCGAGGGUUCGAAUCCCUCUCUCUCCG